CAAUUCUGCACCUGAAAAACUCAAAGUUUAAGGACUUAUUUAGUUUGUCUAGCAUUUUUUCAUUGGAAUUGUCACAUCCUAAAGUGAGUCAACUUCAUUUCACUUGCAACUGUUGCAAGCUGCACCUGAAUAACUGACGUCACAUCCUAAGUGAGUCAAGUAGUCAACUUCAUUUCACUCGCAAGCUGCACAUGAAUAACUUUGAGUGUGACUCUGACGUAUGAAUUUGUUCAUAGUUUUAAUAGCAUUUCUUAUGUUUUU